rnacentral:rRNA from 1 species
GACAGAGGGUGCAAACGUUGCUCGGAAUCAUUGGGCGUAAAGCGCACGUAGGCGGUCUGUUAUGUCGGAUGUGAAAGCCCUUGGCUCAACUGAGGAAGUGCAUCCGAAACUGGCAGGCUAGAGUACUAAAGAGGGUCGCGGAAUUCCCGGUGUAGAGGUGAAAUUCGUAGAUAUCGGGAGGAACACCGGUGGCGAAGGCGGCGACCUGGGUAGAUACUGACGCUGAGGUGCGAAAGCGUGGGGAGCAAACAGG